AUGCCUAUGAGGAGAUCAGUUAUAAAGAACACCAUCUUUCGGGACUGAUUGGCUUUAUAGCCUUGUUGAUUCUUCUGCAAUUCUGAGGCUU